GUUUUCCCUUGUGUAGGACACUGCCAAGCAAUCUGAGAAACAUAGAAGAAAUAGAGCUCUGUUCCUGUCUUCAGGAGACAGCUGUCCUGGUGAGGUUCCUGUACCAUACACAGCAAAGAGGAAAGAUAGACGGAGCCUGUGUCCCUAAAGACACUGUGAAACUGAUGAGUCAAUCAGCCCUGAAGGCUGACUUAUCUCUGGAGAUGCUUCCGGUUAUGUGAGUUAAUAAUUUUCUUUGUUUGAUUUGACGUGGUUGUUAAUUGCAGCUGAAAAUCUAAUAGAGCCACAAGAGGAGAGAGUUUCAAGAAGCCAGGAAUGAUGGGGUCUGUAGAUGAUGGGCCAAGGAGGUCAUGCUAGGAUUUGGCUAAGGGAGGCCAUGGGUGGCCUUGUCAAGU
rnacentral:lncRNA from 1 species